rnacentral:rRNA from 1 species
CCCUUAGAUGUCCUGGGCCGCACGCGUGCUACACUGGUCUUCGCAAACGGAUGCAUUCUCGAAGGAGAAUGCCAAUCUUGGAAUCUAUGCCUUGGUCGGGACAGUUGCUUGCAAUUUUUCGACUCGAACCAGGAAUUCCUUGUAAUCGUGAUUCAUCACAUCACGAUGAAUACGUCCCUGCCCUUUGUACACACCGCCCGUCGCUCCUACCGAUCGAAGAGUUAGGUGAAUUGUUUUGAUCGAUAAGAUUUGACUAUGGUCAACUCUCGUUGUGAAAUUCUGUGAAUCUGACUGUUUAGAGGAAGGAAAAGUCGUAACA